CGGGAUAACCCGGAGAAAUCCGGCCUAAUACCGCAUGUGGCCGAGGGGAGGCAUCUUCUUUCGGCCAAAGGAGGCGACUCCGGAGACGGAUGGGCAUGCGUGACAUUAGCUUGUUGGCGGGGUAACGGCCCACCAAGGCGGCGAUGUCUAGGGGUUCUGAGAGGAAGGUCCCCCACACUGGUACUGAGACACGGACCAGACUCCUACGGGAGGCAGCAGUGAGGAAUAUUGGUCAAUGGGCGAGAGCCUGAACCAGCCAAGUCGCGUGAAGGAUGACGGCCCUACGGGUUGUAAACUUCUUUUGUCAGGGAGCAAUUGAGUCCACGUGUGGGCUUAGCGAGAGUACCUGAAGAAAAAGCAUCGGCUAACUCCGUGCCAGCAGCCGCGGUAAUACGGAGGAUGCGAGCGUUAUCCGGAUUUAUUGGGUUUAAAGGGUGCGUAGGCGGAAUAUCAAGUCAGCGGUAAAAAUUCGGGGCUCAACCCCGUCGUGCCGUUGAAACUGAUGUUCUUGAGUGGGCGAGAAGUAUGCGGAAUGCGUGGUGUAGCGGUGAAAUGCAUAGAUAUCACGCAGAACUCCGAUUGCGAAGGCAGCAUACCGGCGCCCAACUGACGCUGAAGCACGAAAGCGUGGGUAUCGAACAGGAUUAGAUACCCUGGUAGUCCACGCAGUAAACGAUGAA
rnacentral:rRNA from 1 species